AUGAAAUAAUGCUCUCUUCUCUGAUUGACACUUAGUGUCUGUAAUUUGUCUUCUUGAUAAAAUUGUGGGGAAGUUGAGGAGAAGAACUGGGUUUUCUAGAGCUACUGUGUUCUUACUCAGCGUUUGGUGAGGGUUCAGGAAGCUUGAGGCCGUGGGUUUGAUGUUCGGCCAACCUGGGUUUUAAUCCUGGCUAAUUAGUAGUUGUAUGAUCUUGGUUACAUUGCUAAUGUCUGAACAUUGAUUUACUCUUCUGGAAAAAAAAUCAGUCGAUCAGUCUAUCCACGUCAGCCAUCUGCACAGUAGGAAUCCGAACACUCAGUGAGCUGUGACUACAGUGAAGUUUAGGUUCUUCCAGACUUUGUUUAGUCCAUUUCAAACACUGCACACCACUCCGUGGGGCGUUCGCAUCUCCAGGCUCCGUGGGGAUUCACAGGGGCUCCGGCUGCAGCUCUGGGAGGCCCAAAGCCGCCCAGCAGUUUCAAUGUCCUCAGCCACAAAACGGAAGGGGUCAUAGAGCCUGUCUCUAACUUGUCAUUGGAUUAAACGAGAUUAAUGCAUCCAAAAUACUUGGUGCAAUGCCUCACAGCGAGGAAGCUCUCAACAAAAAGUCGCAUUUACUCUUCAUCGUCUUCUCCUGCCAUCCCAGGAUGUAAAAAAGCACAGCCGCUUUCUGAGCCAUCUCCAACCUCCAUUCAGGGAAUCGCCAUCUGUGAAGUUCAAGGGCAGAUCCUCAGCUAUUCCAGGGACGCAGUCGGUGGACUUUGCCUUCACCGGCUCUGGCUGUCCAUCCAAUGUGCCUGGUGAUCUUCCCACAGUGAAGAGGAAGAUAUCCGCUUUGGGCUGCUUCCCCUUAGCAGGGAAAACCCUGCAACGCCUCCCUUUCGGGCGUGGUGCCUUAGCGCAUCACCUGGAGGCCACGCCUAUUUAUACCAACAGCAGCAAACCUGGGAUAGGCCUAGUGCCAGGAUUCCCAGGUUCAUUGCUCGUCACCCUGAUUCACCCUCAUCACACCAGUACAGUUAGACAGUUUAUUAGAACACGGCCCCAGCGCAGAGGAGAUCCUGGUUCAGUUCCUUAACCAUAUCCUGUACUCAAAUGCCCUUAAGAAGAGGUAAAAACAUGUGAAAAAAAAAUGAAAUCAAGCCAAUAGGAUGUCUUAAAGACAGUGAAGCGAGGGUACAGGGUCCAAGAGUCACAACUAAUUGGUAAAGUUUUUUUUUUAAAGAAACCAACAUGGUUCAUCAUUGAUCAAGUUUUGCUGUGCUCUAGGCACUAGACUAAGUGCCUUACACAGGUUUUCUCACCAAAUCCUCUCGAAAACUCUUUGACGGGGUGCAAUUAUUAUCCCCACUGAGAAGUGAGAUAACAUCGAGGCUCGGUGGAGUUUAGCAACUUUUACAAGGGCAGCUAGUAAGUUUCUGGACCUUCUUCAUUUCUUAAAAAAAAAACACAAACAACAACAACAGAAAAAAAAAAAAGAACCCCAAAACCCUGUAUCUAGGUAAAGUCAACUUUUAACAACCUUGAAGAGGAAAUUAAAAAAA